rnacentral:tRNA from 1 species
GAGUAUGUGGCUGAGCGGCCAGGCACCCGAGAAACUGUUAUUCUGAACGGGUUUAUUACCGUUUAACAUUCAGGAAGUAUCGGGACCACAAAACGCAGGUUCGAAUCCUGCCCUACUCA